GACGAACGCUGGCGGCGUGCCUAAUACAUGCAAGUAGAACGCACAGUUUAUACCGUAGCUUGCUACACCAUAGACUGUGAGUUGCGAACGGGUGAGUAACGCGUAGGUAACCUGCCUGGUAGCGGGGGAUAACUAUUGGAAACGAUAGCUAAUACCGCAUAAUAUUAAUUAUUGCAUGAUAAUUGAUUAAAAGGUGCAAUUGCACCACUACCAGAUGGACCUGCGUUGUAUUAGCUAGUAGGUGAGGUAACGGCUCACCUAGGCGACGAUACAUAGCCGACCUGAGAGGGUGAUCGGCCACACUGGGACUGAGACACGGCCCAGACUCCUACGGGAGGCAGCAGUAGGGAGUCUUCGGCAAUGGACGAAAGUCUGACCGAGCAACGCCGCGUGAGUGAUAGAUAGGUUUUCGGAUCGUAAAUGCUCUGUUGUAAGAGAAGAACGGGUGUGAGAUGUGGAAAGUUCACACUGUGACGGAUCUACCAGAAAGGACG
rnacentral:rRNA from 1 species